UGUCGCUCUCUCACCCAGGCUGGAGUGCAGUGGCGCUAUCUUGGCUCACUGCAACAUCUGCUUCCCAGGUUCAAGUGAUUAUCCUGCCUCAGCCUCCCAAGUUGCUGGGAUUACAGGCGUGUGCCACCACGCCUGGCUAAUUUACUAAACUAAUAAAUUACUAAAUUAGUAAGUUACUAGUAAAUUAGUAAUUACUAAAAUAUAAUUUUUAGUAGAGAUGGGAUUUCAUCAUGUUGGCCAGGCUGGUCAUGAACUCCUGACCUCAAUGGAUCCUCCUGCCUCAGCUUCCUGAGUAGCUGGGACCACAGGUGCACACCACCACGCCCAGGUAAUUAAUUUUUAUUUUUUGUAGAGUCGGGGGUCUCCCUAUGUUUCCCAGGCUGGCCUCGAACUCCUGACCUCAAGUGAUCCUCCCACCUCAGCCUCCCCGAGUGCUGGGAUUAAAGACGUGAGCCACGGCACCUGGCCUGAAUUUUCCUCAAAUUCAAAAAAUCCUGAUGAAGGUUUGGCUAAAAUCUUUGGUGAGUUACCCCACUCCCUGUGGAACCUCAGGCUGGAUUUGAAGAGUUGCGUGCAUGGUCCUCAUUGUCUCCCAGGUAACCUGUUCCCGCUGCUGUGAAGGGAAGGCAGGUGCUCUUCCUUGAGGCUAGAAUCUGUCUACGUGUCACAGUCUCAGGAAAUUAAGCAAAACAGAUGAUAAACACCUCAAAAGGACCCUACUGAGCAUCAGUGGAGCAGAGCAGGGCCAUGUGGGACUGCGGCGUCAGAUGCCACCUCACACUAGCUGUGACACACCUGCCUCGCCAGUUUCUGCUCUGAGGCCCCAAAGCCGAGCUGAACCUCCUCCAGGGGUUCUCAGCCCUAACUGAGCAUGAAAACCCCUGGGGCAAUCCUCUUUUUAACAAUUGAGACAUUCCACACACACCCCACAUCAGAUUUUGGGGUGUGGGGAUAGACCUUCACAUUUGUAGUUUUCUAACCCUCCAGGGGACACUAGGCUGAGACUCAUUGGUCUCCACUCUGAACCUUCCACUGAACAUGUGAGAAAAACUAAGGCCCAGGGAAGUCUUUAGCAGAGAGCUGAGACGGAGAAAAGGGUUCUGAACCACAGCUGUCUGCUGAAGGAAGCUGUCCAAAGGCCAGUGAAGUCUCUCCUGAGGGUGCCUGGGCUGUGCAUCAGGAGUGAAGGUUGAGGGUCACCUUAGGUGUGAGAAGGAGCAACUGGGAGAGUGGCGCUGAUGCUUCCCCCCGGGUUAGGAGGCAUUUGGAUCACAGAGCGAUGCCUGUUCAUUCCUGCUUGCAAGGGAGCAGAUCUCUCGACACCCGAUGGGCCUCUAUUCCGUUCCGGCAGCUGUCCGUGUCAGGAGCGCUGGGCUUGCUCCUCCCCACGGGAGCCAUCACAGAGGCCUCGGGCAGUCUGCAUAGACAACUGCCUGGCAGGUGACCAGGAGGGGAUGCAUGAGCAGAUGCAGGUAGCACUCGCAGUCCCCCUAGCUGUGCCCUCAGCACCUGCUGUCUAGGAGGCAGAAGCCUUGUUCUCGGCCUUGCAGGUGACCCCAGUGUCUCUGAAUUCGGCCCCAUAUGUGUAGGAGGGGAGUGAUUGCAUCUGAAGAUGGGAGUCUGGUUGGGGGUUUGGGAAGCUCCCAUCACCCCUCAAGAGUCCACUGACCAGCCCAGCUCACACCAGGUGGGCCUUGGCACUGGAGGCCACGGCUCAACUCUGCAGUUCCCUCUGGGCAGCAUUUCCAGGGACUCGUAGGUCAGCAUGGUCAUCAAGGACAGGUGGUGAGAGCAGCUCCUCAUUGUCCUGGUGACCCCGAUGGUUCAUUUUCUGGUGUCUCUGUGGUGAGCUCCUGUUACAUCAAGCGAGUGGAAACCACCGAGGACCAACAGCCCUGGAAAUGCACUGAGAAUGCAGGAUGAGUGGGCUUUGUGAGGACUGUUUUCUGUGACUUAGCAAGGAAAGCCUGGAAGGGAAAGUAAAACUGCUUCUUCCCAGGGAAGCCAGAAACCUGAGAACUUAAAAGGGAAGGAGAACUUAAUAUAUUUCAAAAAUGUAACCCUUGUGAAUUAGCAACAGCUUUAUAAACAAAGAGAUUUCCGAGCUUAUAGAAUCUAUUCUGCUUUGUUUCUGCCCCCAUGGCUCCUACCCCUGUUUUUGUGGGUACAAUUUUCAUAUAGAACAUUUUUACACAAGCUUCAAAACUCUCUGAGGACAGCUUUCCCCUUUGUGUCUGUCGGGUCCCAGGCAGUCACAUCCCAGGAAGUGCUGGGGUUGGGCUCCUUGCUCCACAUCCUUCUUCAGUGGCACGAAGCGUGGGGUGGAGUGUGUGAGUCAUGUGUGAUCUUGGUGUGGGCUAUGGCUGGUCUGCAGCACCCCUUCAAUGACUGCUUCAAGGGCUUUUCAUGAUGCUUGUAGCUCAUGAGCUAGUGUUUCCUAGAUGCUGUUUCCAGGUGUCUUGCAUGUCACACACUGGCCUACCAGGGCUGGAGUGAGAUCAUGAGCGCCAGAUUGUUGGUGAAGGAAGUUGACAGAGACAUCGAAUGUCGGUGAACAGGAGUGACCUUGGGUCUCAAUAAAUACUGUGGUCAACUGAAUCCAGAACCCACCCUUACCAGCAGGGCCCACUUCUUCCCCAGCAGGCCGAGCUCUUCCCCUCCUGUCUUCCCUGGCCCUUGCUUUGUAGCUCUGUGUGGCUGUGUCAUGUCUGGUUGUAUCUGUAUAUACUUCUGCCUCUCCCGCUAUCUAGAUGGCUCGGGGAGGCACACCACACACCAGGUCACCUUCCUCUCUGAACCCCCAGCACCUCAUACUGUUUCUGUGCAGAGAUAAGGCUGGGUGAAAGCUUGUGUGAAUGAUCUGAAGUCUUCUACUCUAGGCCAGUCUCCAGGAGCAUUAUGAUCUUUAGGAGGGUGGGCUUGGUUCCUCUGUACAAUAAUGGGUCAUAAAACUGAGUGGUCAAGAUCAUCCCGGUGAGGGCAGUCCGUGUGUUGCCAUAGUUGCUGUACCGGUUAAGAAUGCACCUGGCUGCAAUUUCCUGAAAACCUGACGUAUAGUGGCUUAAACAAAGAGUGGUUUAUUUUCCUUCUGUCAUAGCAAUCUGGGGGAGGCCACUGUGGCUUUGGCGCAGGAGGUCGGGAAAGGCCCGCUUCUCUGAUAUCAUUGGGGGCCUCCCCAGUGCUUGUGUGGCAGAAUGACAAGAGGAAGAAGAAGGAGAAUUAUGGCACUGAGUAUCAUGAGAUUUGGGGUCAUAUAUCUUUAGUGGGCGGUGUUUGCUGCCCCAAAUGUCUCAUGCCAUUAAAAUGUUCUGGAAAUGAUUUAGGUAGUUGGAGUUUCCUUCCCAAAGACAAGGCAUUUACAGCAUGAUGUCCAAUAUCCAUUGAGUUUGUGUCAUGCAUUCAUUGUAUUCAUAGUCUGCUUUAGGUACUUAGCAAAAUAUUGCUGAUAUUAACAUGCCUUUGUUUGCUUCACUGGAGAUGAAAUUGUGCUCCAAGUGUUUUCCAAGGUUCCGUAUGACCCAUCAUUUGAUGAAACAAGAACAGCAGUCAGAUCCAUUACAAAGAGAGACACACAAAAAAACUAUGUGAAAAUGAGCUUAGCCCCUGGUGUUGUGUUGGAACUUCAGAUGCUUGCAGACACUUCAUGAAUGCUCUGUGACACUCAGAAUAGGCUAUUCCCAACAGAAGAGCUUGAACAAUGCUGCAUUUGCAUCAGGUUCAAAUGAGCGAGAGGAACAUUUGGCUAAAAUAUUUGGAACCAGCAUUGCUUGGAAUUCUCCUAAACCAGAAUAUUUCCUUGGCAGUGUGGACAAAAUUCCUGAUAAAGAUCACCUUUCAGAGGAGAAGAAUUUUAAAGAAUCCUGUCUGUUCGACAGGGAUUUAAGAGAGCAGUUAACUACUAUAGAUAAAGAAACACUUCAAGGAGCAGCUAAACCAGAUCUCCUCUGGCAAACACGACAUAUAAUAUUUUUAUAAUGGAUGGAAAGACAUGGUGGCACAAUUCUGAAGAAAAAAAUUUCACAAAACUUGCAAAAAAACAGAAACAGUUGAAGAGCAGCUCCUGUGUCUAAGCCAGGUCGUGGGGCCGUCAAACCAGGACUUGAAACCACAAUGCGAGGACAUUCUCCAUCUGCGCACCACAGGGAGGCAAUUCCAUUUCUGCCCGGGAGGUGUAUUCUACAAAAACGUCUGCUUCCCAUCCCAAUUUGAAUGGACCAAGAAAAACUGCUUUACCAUAGGACACUUGUGGCAAUAUGGCACCGAUGGCUGGCGUCGGUGAACCCGACAGACUAUGGAUUUAUCAUUUAAUAAAGCAUUGAUUCAUUUUUUCAGUCAUUCAUUGAACAGAUAUUAAUAGACCACCUCACAUGCUGACAAUAUCAAAAUACAAUGAGGAAACUAACAGUGACCCAGGCAUGCAUUCUUCCCCGAGCAAGAUCACAGUCCAUGGUGUGAGCACAACCAUACUAAAUAGCUUUUAUGGGAGGUGGGAGUACAGAAAGUAUUAUAUCUGCAAAGAAACUGCUAAGAAUUGUGGGAGCGCCCCAGGAGGUGAUUUCCUGCUUGCGUGACCAGCACAAAGAAAUGGGGUAAUUGAGAGUGUCAUGAAGUGGGGUUAUUUAUUUAUUGAGUC
rnacentral:lncRNA from 1 species